CCUACGGGAGACAGCAGUGGGGAAUAUUGCUCAAUGGGGGUAAGCCUGAAGCAGCAACGCCGCGUGGAGGAUGAAGGUUUUCGGAUUGUAAACUCCUUUUGUUAGAGAAGAUAAUGACGGUAUCUAACGAAUAAGCACCGGCAAACUCCGUGCCAGCAGCCGCGGUAAUACGGCGGGUGCAAGCGUUACUCGGAAUCACUGGGCGUAAAGAGCGCGUAGGCGGGAUAGCAAGUCAGAUGUGAAAUCCUAUGGCUUAACCAUAGAACUGCAGUUGAAACUGUUAUUCUAGAGUAUGGGAGAGGUAGGUGGAAUUCGUGGUGUAGGGGUAAAAUCCGUAGAGAUCAAGAGGAAUACUCAUUGCGAAGGCGACCUGCUAGAACAUAACUGACGCUGAUGCGCGAAAGCGUGGGGAGCAAACAGGAUUAGAUACCCGAGUAGUC
rnacentral:rRNA from 1 species